rnacentral:rRNA from 1 species
UACGAAGGGGGCUAGCGUUGCUCGGAAUCACUGGGCGUAAAGGGUGCGUAGGCGGGUCUUUAAGUCAGGGGUGAAAUCCUGGAGCUCAACUCCAGAACUGCCUUGAUACUGAGGAUCUUGAGUUCGGGAGAGGUGAGUGGAACUGCGAGUGUAGAGGUGAAAUUCGUAGAUAUUCGCAAGAACACCAGUGGCGAAGGCGGCUCACUGGCCCGGUACUGACGCUGAGGUGCGAAAGCGUGGGGAGCAAACAGG